rnacentral:rRNA from 1 species
GAUGAACGCUGGCGGCGUGCCUAAUACAUGCAAGUCGGGCGAACAGAUAAGGAGCUUCCUCCUUUGACGUUAGCAACGCACGGGUGAGUAACACUUGUGUAACCGACCGAUAAGACUAGGAUAACUUAGUACAACCUAAGCUGAUCCCGUAUAAUAGUUCGACCCACAUGGUUCGAUAGUCUAGGAUGGUUUUGCUAUCUCUUAUAUAUGUGCCCCCGCCGUAUUAGCUAAUUGGUAAGGUAACGACUUACCAAGGCGACGAUACGUAGCCGACCUGAGAGGGUGAGCGGCCACACUGGAACUGAGACACGGACAAAACUCCUAGGGGAGGCAGCAGUAGGGAAGCUUCGGAAAUGGCGGAAAGCCUGACGGAGCAACGCAGCGUGAGUGAUGAAGGUCUUAGGAUCGUAAAACUGUGUUAUUAGGGAAGAACAUACGUGUAAGUAACUGUGCACGUCUUGACGGUACCUAAUCAGAAAGCAACGGCUAACUACGUG